GAUGAACGCAAGCGGCAGGCCUAAUACAUGCAAGUCGAACGGUAACAUGAGUAGCAAUACUUGAUGACGAGUGGCGCACGGGUGCGUAACGCGUAUGCAAUCUACCUUUAACCGGUGAAUAGCCCGAAGAAAUUCGGAUUAAUACACCAUAGUAUGAUGAGGAGGCAUCUCCUUAUCAUUAAAGUUCCGACAGUUAAAGAUGAGCAUGCGUGACAUUAGUUAGUUGGUGAGGUAACGGCUCACCAAGGCCACGAUGUCUAGGGGAUCUGAGAGGAUUAACCCCCANACUGGUACUGAGACACGGACCCGACUCCUACGGGAGGCAGCAGUAAGGAAUAUUGGGUCAAUGGAGGGAACUCUGAACCAGCCAUGCCGCGUGAAGGAUGACGGCCUCUGGGUUGUAAACUGC
rnacentral:rRNA from 1 species